GUACUGAUGAAGAGUCUCAAGCUAGGGCGAAACAGCUGUCCAGUAC
rnacentral:hammerhead_ribozyme from 1 species